rnacentral:rRNA from 1 species
CCUACGGGAGGCAGCAGUGAGGAAUAUUGGUCAAUGGGCGCGAGCCUGAACCAGCCAAGUAGCGUGAAGGAUGACUGCCCUACGGGUUGUAAACAUCUUUUAUAAAGGAAUAAAGUGAGGCACGAGUGCCUUUUUGUAUGGACUUUAUGAAUAAGGAUCGGCUAACUCCGUGCCAGCAGACGCGGUAAUACGGAGGAGACGAGCGUUAUCCGGAUUUCUUGGGUUUAAAGGGAACGUAGAUGGGUUGUUAAGUCAGUUGUGAAAGUUUGCGGCUCAACCGUAAAAUUGCAAUUGAUACUGGCAGUCGUGAGUACAGUUGAGGUAGGCGGAAUUCGUGGUGUAGCGGUGAAAUGCUUAGAGAUCACGAAGAACUCCGAUUGCGAAGGCAGCUUACUAAACUGCCACUGACAUUGAUGCUCGAAAGUGUGGGUAUCAAACAGGAUUAGAUACCCCAGUAGUC